GAGGAUGGGGAGGCCACCGGGAGGGAUGAAGGAGGACGGAGGGAGGUGGAACCGUGAAGGUUGGAGGGAGGAUGGGGAGCGGCUCCAGCCUGGAGGAGGAGGGAUGAGAAGAUGAGGAUAGGAGAAGUGGAGAAUUGUAUGGUGGUCUGGUGGAGAAGUUAACAGGCCUUCUCGGACUCGCCACCUAAAAUCGGGUCGGACUGGGCCGCCCGUCGUGCUGGGGUGGUAGCCCACGCUCGGCACGAGCUACCGGGUCAGG
rnacentral:lncRNA from 1 species